UUAUAGAUAUUGAAGCUUGUAAACAAAACCAAUAAACGUAGGACUUAUUCACGGCAAUGUAUGGGAACCAGAACAGGGAACCAGUCUAGAAGGCAAAGAAAAUUCCGCCAAGUAAACAACAAAGAAAGGAAUUUGGGAUGUUGUCAGUUGUAUGUAUACAUUAUGUGCGACGGUGACUGCAAGAAAAAAGGAAUGUGGAGCUAAUGCAUGCUGCUAAGGAUGGGAAGGUCUUGUGUUUAUUGGUUGUGCCUGAGACACCAGUCACAGUUGUACCUUAUUUCCAUUUUAGGGAGUCUAUAUACAUUUGAGGUGAGCGACAGAUUUAAUUUUGAAGAAGGGUGACUUUCAGAUGUUGUGAUGAAGAUUGUUGAAAGGGAUUAUCAGCAUAAAACCAAUCCAUAUGAAUGUGCAAGUCAGAAAAAAGGAAUGUGGAGCUAAUGAAUGCUGCUAAGGAUGGAAAGGUCGUGUGUUUAUUGGUUGUGCCUGAGACACCAGUCACAGUUGUACCUUAUUUCCAUUUUAGGGAGUCUAGAUACAUUUGAGGUGAGCGGCAGAUUUAAUUUUGAAGAAGGGUGACUUUCAGAUGUUGUGAUGAAGAUUGUUGAAAGGGAUUAUCAGCAUAGAACCAAUCCAUAUGAAUGUGCAAGUCAGGACUUACAACACCUGAGUGCCUAGAUGACUGUUGAACUAAUUGGUGAACAAGAAAAGAUGUCAGAGAGGGGAAUCCAAUACAGAUGUCAUGAUCAAGAAUAUAUACUCUUAACAAUGAUAUGAUCAAGAAUAUGUAAACUUGUAAUGAUUUAAAAUAUUUUAUUUGUAAAUCACUCUUCAUUACUUAAUUGUUCACACAUUAUCAUCUACACUUAUGCUAUAAAUCUUAUCUGUAUAUUAAUCGCCCCCUCUUAUCUAACCCACCUGCUGAUUGUAAUGACCUGUGUAUUGACUCCUGAUCUUAAGGAUCUUGUAAUGUACUCCUGAUCGUCAGGAACAGAUCUUGAGUAUAUAUAUAUAGUGCGACAGAAUUUUAGAAUAAGAUAGGAAGAUGGAAAUAUAGAAGACUUAGUAGAUAGAACUGUUAGAGAUAGAUAAAGUUACUCACUUACUUGGACUAUUACAUAAUAAUUCUUGGAUAUAUAUGUACAUAUGAUUGUUUUACUUGAAUUUAUUUUUUGUGAAUUAUUUUUCCUGAAUGUUUCUAUUUAUGAUGUGCUGUGUAAAUAAACUGUAGACUAGAAUUUCGGCAUCUAUUUUCAAGAUAUGAGGAACAAGGAUAAAUUAAUUUAUUCAUGCAAACUGACAGUAUGAAAUGUGUUGUAAGACCGCUCGGUGCGGCGCUACAAACUAACUAGGAAAUAUCUUGGAGAUUUAUAGAUGAACAUGCAAGCAUUCAUGAUUUUGAAUGUUAUUCAGCAAGAGAGUUUUGCACAAAUUUAAUUUUCAGUACAGUAAUUUAAACCGGAUGUGUAAUUUUCAGUACAGUUAUG